UACACAAGUUUGCAACUCUGAGCCAUAUCAGUGGAAUUGCUUUGUCGCACCGCCUUCCUCUUCCCGGUCUGUUUCGGUGCGGCCAUUUUUUAUUUCGGAAGCGUGUAGGUUCGCGUCGUAUUGUAUCGCGUUGUUUUACAGAAUUUACUGACUUGGUUCUAAAACGAGCCGAAAAUGCCGGGUUUUAGCAGCGUUGGUACAUUCAAAAUUUUCAUCGGUAACUUGGCUGAUAAAACAUCAAAUGCUGAUAUCAAGCCACUUUUUGAGAAAUAUGGAAAAGUCGUAGAGUGUGAUGUUGUUAAGAAUUAUGGAUUUGUGCAUAUGGAAAAUGAAGAAGCAGGAAGAAAUGCGAUACAAAAUUUGAAUGGACAUAUAGUUCAUGGUCAGCCCAUAAAAUGCGAAGCUGCUAAAAGUCGUAAAGGACCCAACACUCCUACGACCAAAAUCUUUGUUGGCAAUCUCACAGACAAUACAAAAGCACCUCAAGUGCGCGAAUUGUUUGCCAAAUAUGGCACUGUCGUAGAAUGCGACAUAGUGAGAAAUUAUGGAUUUGUCCAUCUAGAAGCCACAGGUGAUGUGAAUGAUGCCAUCAAGGAGCUUAACGGGCAAAUUGUGGACGGUCAACCUAUGAAGGUUCAAAUUUCCACUAGCAGAGUACGACAAAGGCCAGGAAUGGGAGAUCCAGAACAAUGCUACCGAUGCGGACGCGGAGGCCAUUGGUCCAAGGAAUGUCCAAAAGGCGGAAUGGGAGGAGGACCGGAUAGGAACGGAUUCAGGGACCGAAUGUUUGGACGUGACCCGUAUCCUCCACCGCCGCCACCACCUUUCCUUCGGGACCGGCUAAUGGGUGGUGGCCGCUUUGGAGACUACGAAAGCUACUAUGACAGGAGGGGCUUUGACGACACCAGGGAUCUCUACGAGAGGCGGUUUACGGGUAUGACAGGGCCCUGUGACAUGGGAACUUCCAUGUGCGGGCUAGACUUUCCACCAAUGACAAUGCCACCUCUACCUCCAAGACGAGACCCAAUGCCUCCUAUGCCUCCUCUAGGUAUGGGAUCCAUGCGCGAUACUGGCUUUUCCCGAGGCAACGAUUAUGGCAUGUUCAGCCGACGAUCACCCCCUCCGAGUGGCAACAACGGCCGGUUCAGUGCACCUCAGGCUGCGUACCAUCUUUGUCCAUGAAUGCGGGCAACCCUAGAGAGACAGUCCCGGGCCAACGUUCAAGUCAUGCAAGAACCGGGAUUACGAGGGCCAUCGCCGUCGCGCCGGUUCGCACCAUACUAAAUCGUCGCGUCGGGCUCGGAUCGGUCUGUCGGUCUGUCCGUCUCUCUCUGUGUCGGGUCUGAUCGCUAGCAGGAAGCCUCGGGACCGAGAUACUCUUGGCCGUCUGUCGAUCUGCACGCGCGAAGAUCUGCCGCAACCGCUCUAUGAGAACAAGUACAUUCUGUCACCCGCAUUGCGCCCAUUAUUAGAUUACUCUAAAUAAAUAAACUAAUGACGAAAAGAAAAAAAGAAUACCCACAACAACCACAAUAAAGUAUACAAAAAAGAAAAAAAAUACAAUAAGCGAAAAGAAAGCAACACCGAAUCUAUCGAGAAAUAAUAAUAAUAAUAAUAAUAAUAAUAAUAAUAAUAAUAAUAAUAUGAUAGACAAAGAAUGUCUUUAUCUGCGAUAGUAUAUCGAAAAAACUGCGCAUAAAUUAAUCGUCAUAAACACCAAACUGAAAAAAAGGAAAACAAUAUCUGAAGUAAAAUUCAGACGAAAAUUUCACGGUCCCCAUGCAUCUUGAUAAAUCUACCCUUCCGAACCCUAUCUCCCUCUUGCCUUACUACACCAACACCAUUACCACACCAUCACAAUCUCCGCUAUCCUUCCUCGUCCGAUAUGUAUGUAUAUAUAAAACUGUAUAUGUGUAUAUAUACAAGUACAUCCAUCUGUCUCUUUUAUCAGAGCACACGUAUAAUUAUUACUAGUCCGUCGGAUUGCUUAUCGUUUAUUACGAUAUGUCUUAGGGAAACGAUAACGAACGAUUAGAUAGAGAGAAAGAAAAAAAAUAUCAGAUAUUACAGGAAAAUGUUACUAUCCUCGACGAAAUCAUUUAAGCGAGCGAAAUAAUUUAUAAAUUUUACGCACUAUAUUUGUCCGCCACUCUUCCACCAUAGUCAGAAAAAGAAAAUUUCACAACUCUUUUUACGCGUGUAUAUUAUUUAUUUAAUAGGCUUGUAUGCGUUGCGUAAUAUCGCGUACGUGAUUUUUAACAAUCGCGAAUAUUUCUUAACUUGUAUUGUUCGUUCGUUCGAUCGUUCGAUCGUUCGUUCGUUCGUUCGUUCGUUCGUUAGCGCGAUUUUUCAGCAAGGCCUUUUUAUCUUUUUUUUUGUUCGAAUCCUCUUCCCUCCCUAAAAAUUAGGAACAAAACGUCAUUAUUACUGAUCUUUUACGCGCGUUUAUGAAUGCUUGUGCGCGCGCGCGUGCGUGUGUGUGUGUGUAUUUGCAAUAAAAAUAAAAAAAAACGAAAAAAAUAAAAAUAAAACAAAGAAAAGAGAGAAAAAAGUAAUAAAAAUAGGUGGGAAGAGUGUGCUUAAACCGAUUUUUUGUGGAAUCGUGCAAAUUUUUGCCAUAUUGUCAUUACUCUCGCGCGGUCUUUGUGUUUGUACCGUCGAUGGAUAGAAAAAUUCUUUUUUUUUUUUCUCAUUAUUACUGAUGUUUUCUCGGAUAUCGCUACGAAAAACAUAAUUUCUUCGGCGCAAAUAUAUAACGUUUACGUUCAAAUUAAUCAUAUUAUAAUCAUAUAUAUAUAUAUAUAUAUAUAUAUAUAUAUAUAUAUAUAUAUAUAUACACAUAUGUCAUAUUGGAAAAUUUUUCAUUUCAAUUUCGCAGCGAUACGUUGAUUUGAUUUUAGAACAAUUUGUAUAUGCAAUGCGCAAAUCGAUCGUUCGUUACCAGUUUCCUUCUAAUUUCUUUUUUUUUCCUUUUUCUUAUUUUUUUUCCUUACCUAAGGAAAAAUAAGAUAUCUUUUUUUUCGUUUGUUUCAACGGCGGCAAAAAAAAACAUUUUUUAUGCGAUUUAUCGUGAUCUAUGUAAUUGAUUAGAAAUAAAAGAAAGUUUCUUUUUUUUCCUAUCAUCGCUCAGGUCCGUCGUUCGGUUCAAAGAAUAUUAGCGAUGCUAAUAAAACAAAAAAAAAACAAAAUAAUAAUAAUAAUAAUAUUGACGAUGUUAUUUGGCAUCGAACGAAAAGAAGCGCAAAAUUUUGUAUGACGUAUAGACAAGAUUAAAUGUUGAGUAUGUAUGUGUAUGCGUGUAUGCUUGUGUGCGUGUGACGAUCGUGGCCGAACGGUUUUCUUCGAUGAUUCGCUUUUCUGAAUUUUUUUAUUUUCUUUUUUCUUUUUAAUUUUUUGGUUACUUUUUUUAAUCUAUCAUAGCGAUCUAACGUGAAUAGAAAUUAUCCUAGAUAUGAUAUAGUUCUUCGAGAUAUAUAUUAUUACAUGCACGAUGUUUUAGGAAAAAAUGUCGUUCGGGGACUAGAAUGCGCAAAUACAUAAUAAAAAUUUGACGACGCGUUAAGACGAUAUAUAUAUAUGUGUAUAUAUAUAUAUAUAUAUAUAUAUAUAUAUAUAUGUGCGUGCGUGCGUGUGCGUGUGUGUAUACACACACAAAAAAAUAACUAAAAAGACGUAAUUGAGUAAGAAACAUGCUUUCUAGCCUUCGGAACGAGUUGCCUUUUAUUUUUGUCGGGCGAGGUGAGGGGGAGGGAAGUACGCCGUUAAACGAUUACGCUAAUAAUUAGUUUAACGACUUGGAGAUUACGGUUGGACCUAUAAAUUCCGUAGAGAUGCGUCGAUUCUGUAUGAGAUACCUUAAUUGGAUCGUGCGAACAUUUAGCGUGUAGUAACAUAACCAUUUUAUUAUAAAUAGGAUUAAUCGACGUAAAGUAAAGAAAAGAAUGACAAAAAAGAAAAAUAAGACAGAAGGAAAAAACAAUUUAUUGAUGAAGAUCAAUUGCGUUUAACCACACGUAUUUGCGCUCGUUAUAUCUAUUAUAAAAAAAAAAGGAAAAGGAUUUAAGCAAAUAUACAAAGAAAAUAAAAGAGAAAAAUCAACAACAACAAA